rnacentral:tRNA from 12 species
GUCGGUUUGGCCGAGUGGUUAAGGCGACAGACUAGAAUGGCGUGCUUAGCGUCAAAGUCAUCUGUUGGAGUUUCUCCGCACAGGUUCAAAUCCUGUAGCCGACG